UACAGAGGGGGCAAGCGUUGUUCGGAAUUACUGGGCGUAAAGGGCGCGUAGGCGGCCCGCUAAGUCGAACGUGAAAUCCCCGAGCUCAACUCGGGAACUGCGUCCGAUACUGGCGGGCUUGAAUCCGGGAGAGGGAUGCGGAAUUCCAGGUGUAGCGGUGAAAUGCGUAGAUAUCUGGAGGAACAUCGGUGGCGAAGGCGGCAUCCUGGACCGGUAUUGACGCUGAGGAGCGAAAGCCAGGGGAGCAAACAGG
rnacentral:rRNA from 1 species